UUUUUUCUUCUUUUUACAACAGUUCCUUUAACAUUUCUUGCAUUGCUGGCUUGGGAGUGAUAAACUUCCUUAGCUUUUCUUUUGUAUGUGAAGCUUUUUA